rnacentral:rRNA from 1 species
GACGAACGCUGGCGGCGUGCUUAACACAUGCAAGUCGAACGGAAAGGCCCUGCUUGCAGGGUACUCGAGUGGCGAACGGGUGAGUAACACGUGGGUGAUCUGCCCUGCACUUCGGGAUAAGCCUGGGAAACUGGGUCUAAUACCGGAUAGGAGCCAUUUUUAGUGUGAUGGUUGGAAAGUUUUUUCGGUGUAGGAUGAGCUCGCGUCCUAUCAGCUUGUUGGUGGGGUAAUGGCCUACCAAGGCGGCGACGGGUAGCCGGCCUGAGAGGGUGGACGGCCACAUUGGGACUGAGAUACGGCCCAGACUCCUACGGGAGGCAGCAGUGGGGAAUAUUGCACAAUGGGCGCAAGCCUGAUGCAGCGACGCCGCGUGGGGGAUGACGGCCUUCGGGUUGUAAACUCCUUUCGCUAGGGACGAAGCUUUUUGUGACGGUACCUAGAGAAGAAGCACCGGCUAACUACGUG